AAUUAAAUGACUGAAAAAAAUAACUUUGUUUUUGUUUUCUUCGAUAGAUUUGCAGCGCGUCAGUUUUUUUUGAGCUAGUUGUCCCAGUUUUUCCUUCUGUAUACUGGUUCCAAUCAAAAAAUAAAGGAAAAUAUAAGUUACCGGCUCCAACGGAACAAACGUCAAACGAUCCGGUUCCAAGCGCUCGUCAUGGAAGAAAAUAUGAUGUCGGAUCUUCUUCCGCGGAAUGGAAAGUUGAAAAAGAAAGCAAAAGGGUACAGCUACCUGAAAAGUAACACCCGGAUACUCACAUUGAGGAUCCGAAUGUGGGAUAACAAUUUCAAGAUGUUUCCGAAGUGUACAAGGAGGGAUGCGAAUUUCAACAAAGGCCCUCGUUCUGUGAAACGAACUUGCAGUUAGCAUAGAUCCGGAAAACAUCCAACGAUCAUAGAAUCAAAAUUAACUGUUUGCCAUCGGACCGUGAUAAGAGUUCAAGAAACAUUUGAGGUUCCUCAGUGAGCCGGAUAUGAAUCAGAUCUAUGCCCAGUCCAGAUGUGAUGACAAAGAGUAAACAGUUCAUUGUUUGUAGAUGCUCUUCCAUUUGCUGAUGGAUUUCAGUAAAGAAACGAUUAUUCUAAGUGAAAUACUUAAUAAGCUGAAUUGAUCUAAUAAAUUUAAUUUGUGUUUCACUUUUUCAUAAC